CCCGCUGAACUUAAGCAUAUCAAUAAGCGGAGGAAAAGAAACUAACAAGGAUUCCCUCAGUAACUGCGAGUGAAGUGGGAAAAGCUCAAAUUUGAAAUCUGGCAGCUCUAUCAGGUUGUCCGAGUUGUAAUCUAGAGAAGCGUUACCUGUGUUGGACCGUGUAAAAGUCUUCUGGAAUGGAGCAUCAUAGAGGGUGAGAAUCCCGUCUUUGACAUGGACUACCAGCAUAUCAAGGUGCACUCUCAAAGAGUCGAGUUGUUUGGGAAUGCAGCUCAAAAUGGGUGGUAAAUGCCAUCUAAAGCUAAAUAUUGGCGAGAGACCGAUAGCGAACAAGUACCGUGAGGGAAAGAUGAAAAGAACUUUGGAAAGAGAGUUAAACAGUACGUGAAAUUGCUGAAAGGGAAACGCUUAAAGUCAGUCGCAUUGGCUAGAAAUCAGGCUUGCUUUUGCAAGGUGCACUUUCUAGUUGAUGGGUCAGCAUCAAUUUUGAUCGUUGGAUAAAGUCAUUGGGAAUGUGGCAUCUUUGGAUGUGUUAUAGCCCAGUGUUGAAUACAGCGGUUGGGAUUGAGGAAUUCAGCAUGCCUUUAGGGGCCAGGUUUUGACCAUGUUCAUGCUUAGGAUGCUGGCAUAAUGGCUUUAAUCGACCCGUCUUGAAACACGG
rnacentral:rRNA from 1 species